rnacentral:rRNA from 1 species
GUAACAAGGUUUCCGUAGGUGAACCUGCGGAAGGAUCAUUGUCGAAUCCUGCACAGCAGUACCACUCGCGAACAAGUUCACAAUCGAGGGGCGAGGCGGGUGCGGGGAUUCCCUGCACCCGGUUCCGUCCCUCACGGUGCUCGGGCAUUCCGUCCGUGUGCCUAACAAACCCCCGGCGCGAGAAGCGCCAAGGAAUACUCUAACAAGGGCCGGAUCCGUCCCCUCCCGUUCGCGGGGCAGGGGGAUCGGGGACUGCUCCUUUCUAAACUGAAACGACUCUCGGCAACGGAUAUCUCGGCUCUCGCAUCGAUGAAGAACGUAGCGAAAUGCGAUACUUGGUGUGAAUUGCAGAAUCCCGUGAACCAUCGAGUCUUUGAACGCAAGUUGCGCCCGAAGCCAUUAGGCCGAGGGCACGUCUGCCUGGGCGUCACGCAUCGCGUCACCCCUCCCCCAAUCCUGGAGGAAGGGGUGGAUUGUGACCUCCUGUGCCCCCGGGUGCAGCUGGUCGAAAUUCGAGUCCGGAGCUAGGGACCUCGCGACAAGUGGUGGUUGUAUGACGACUCUCGUGCUGUCGUGCGGCCGAACUCUCGAGACUGUAAAGACCCUGACGCGCGCGUCGUCCUUUUCUUCGGGCAGGGCGUCCGUGCUUCGACCGCGACCCCAGUCA